CCCCAGCGCCACAAGUGGUGAUCAGCAUUAUUUGGCCUAAAGCGUCCGUAGCUGGUUGAGUAAAUCUUUUGUGAAAUCGUUCUGCUUAACAGAUCGGCGUGCAGGAGAGACUGCUCGACUAGGGACUGGGAGGAGUUAGGGGUAUGCUGUAGGGAGCGGUAAAAUGCUAUAAUCUACAGUAGACCACCUGUGGCGAAGGCGCCUAACUAGAACAGGUCCGACAGUGAGGGACGAAAGCCAGGGGAGCAAACCGGAUUAGAUACCCGAGUAGUCCUGGCCGUAAACGCUGCGAGCUAGGUGUUGCACAUUCUUCGUGAUUGUGCAGUGUCGAAGCGAAGGUGUUAAGCUCGCCGCCUGGGAAGUACGGUCGCAAGACUGAMACUUAA
rnacentral:rRNA from 1 species